rnacentral:tRNA from 1 species
CUCCCUGUAGCUCAGUUGGUAGAGCAUGGUGUUUACAACGCCAGGGUUGUGGGUUUGAUUCCCACGGGGGGC